GAUGAACGCUGGCGGCGUGCCUAAUACAUGCAAGUCGAGCGAACAGACGAGGAGCUUGCUCCUCUGACGUUAGCGGCGGACGGGUGAGUAACACGUGGAUAACCUACCUAUAAGACUGGGAUAACUUCGGGAAACCGGAGAUAAUACCGGAUAAUAUAUUGAACCGCAUGGUUCAAUAGUGAAAGACGGUUUUGCUGUCACUUAUAGAUGGAUCCGCGCCGCAUUAGCUAGUUGGUAAGGUAACGGCUUACCAAGGCAACGAUGCGUAGCCGACCUGAGAGGGUGAUCGGCCACACUGGAACUGAGACACGGUCCAGACUCCUACGGGAGGCAGCAGUAGGGAAUCUUCCGCAAUGGGCGAAAGCCUGACGGAGCAACGCCGCGUGAGUGAUGAAGGUCUUCGGAUCGUAAAACUCUGUUAUUAGGGAAGAACAAAUGUGUAAGUAACUAUGCACGUCUUGACGGUACCUAAUCAGAAAGCCCCGGCUAACUACGUG
rnacentral:rRNA from 1 species